rnacentral:rRNA from 1 species
AUUGAACGCUGGCGGCAUGCCUUACACAUGCAAGUCGAACGGCAGCACGGGUGCUUGCACCUGGUGGCGAGUGGCGAACGGGUGAGUAAUACAUCGGAACAUGUCCUGUAGUGGGGGAUAGCCCGGCGAAAGCCGGAUUAAUACCGCAUACGAUCUACGGAUGACAGCGGGGGGCCUUCGGGCCUCGCGCUAUAGGGUUGGCCGAUGGCUGAUUAGCUAGUUGGUGGGGUAAAGGCCUACCAAGGCGACGAUCAGUAGCUGGUCUGAGAGGACGACCAGCCAAACUGGGACUGAGACACGGCCCAGACUCCUACGGGAGGCAGCAGUGGGGAAUUUUGGACAAUGGGCGAAAGCCUGAUCCAGCAAUGCCGCGUGUGUGAAGAAGGCCUUCGGGUUGUAAAGCACUUUUGUCCGGAAAGAAAUCCUUGGCCCUAAUACGGUCGGGGGAUGACGGUACCGGAAGAAUAAGCACCGGCUAACUACGUG